CCCCCUGGCUCAUGACUCCUUACCGUAAUCCCAGGCCAGGACCACAGACGGCAUUUAACUCCGCGCUUACUGCCACUAGGCAGCUGGUGGAGCGCACAAUUGGGGUCCUUAAAGGCCGGUUUCGUGUGCUCCACCGCACUGGUGGCGACAUCAUGUAUUCGCCGGAGAUGGCAAGUAAACUAGUGGUCCUGUGCGCUAUACUACACAACAUCGCGGUAAGGAGUAGCGUAGAGCUUCCUCAGACAGAGGAAUUGCCUGAUGAGGAGCCAGGGGUUGUCCGACACUUCGGUGGGGGGAGUGUUACACGGAGGGGGAGCGAAGUCAGGGCAAGCAUUGUUGCAGAAUAUUUCAGCUGAAUGAUCACACAAACUGUGGACGACCACAACGGCAAAGACAGCCAGUGAGCCCACAUCAGGCAGCUUCUCAGCCCCCUUCCCCUUCUCACUCCCCCUCCACUUCCCAGUCCCCCUCCCCUUCUCACUCCCCCUCCACUUCCCAGUCCCCCUCCCCUUCUCACUCCCCCUCCACUUCCCAAUCCCCCUCAGCUUCCCAGUCCCCCUCAGCUUCCCAGGCACCCUCAGCUUCCCAGGCACCCUCAGCUUCCCAGGCACCCUCAGCUUCCCAGGCCCACUCCCCUUUCCACUCCCCUUCUCAGCCCACCUCUCAUUCUCUUUCUGUGACCCCUUCUCCUCCUUCCCAGUCCCCUUCUCCUUCUACUUCCAACUCCCCUUCUCAGCCCCCCUCACCCUCCAUUGGCCUAACAUUCUCUCCGCCCCCCUCGCCCUCUCAAUCAGACCCACCCUCAGAAAUUAGUUUCCCAAACCCUCCUCCUUACCCCAUCUCUCCUCCUUCCCCAAACCCUCCUCCUUCACCCAUCCAGCCUCCUUCCCCCAUCCCUCCUCCUUCACCAAUCCCUCCUCCUUCCCCCAUCCAGCUGCCUUCACCACCCACAGAAUGGGCAGAAGAAGCCCCUGAUGGGGUCAGUGAUGACACUAAUGUUGCUGAGGAAAAUGUUGCAGUUGGAGAUCCUACAAGUUUAGGAGGCAUUAUUGCCAGAAUGCGACAACACCUGCAUGGUGUUGUCAUGUGUCUG